GUGGGGUGAAUAAGGCAAAACCAAUUUUCAAAAAAAAGAGAGGUUAGUUUUGUGUUUGACUUUAAGUUGUAGGUCAAUUUUGCAAAAAUCCCAUAAUUAAUAUUGUUGGUGCUAAUCACAAUACUAAAAGCAGCAUAUUCUGUAUCUAGAGAACGCCACGUCCUCAAAAAUAUUCGUCCAAUCAGAAUCAGUUAAUUGUCCACGUCAGAUGGGCCUCACAAUUGUUUUUUAAAUUGGCCCAACUGGACACAAAACACACAAAGAAACACGUCGAAGGAUGACGCUUCGCUUCACCUCUGCCAGUUCGUCUUCUCCAAUUGAAGAGUAAAGAAACCGAGUAGUAAUCGAGCCAAUUCUACACAAUCAAUACGUUCUUAAUGAUUUCAUUCCAUCUCCCUCUUUUUUCCCUCUUUGGAUUUGUCCGAUCGAUUAGAACUUCGUAAUUAGAUCUGAAAUUCGCGAGCUUUAGGUCAACUGGUUUCGUCUCUGUGCAAUUCAAGGAGCUAGCUCAGGCUUAUGAGGUUCUCAGCGAAGCGGAGAAGCGUGAGAUCUAUGAUCUGUACGGUGAGGAUGCGCUCAAGGAAGGAAUUGGUGGUGGAGGCGGUGGUCAUGACCCCUUUGAUAUCUUCUCCUCUUUCUUUGGUGGUGGUGGUGGACACCCUUUCGGAGGUGGCAGCAGCCGUGGAAAGAGGCAGAGGCGUGGUGAAGAUGUUGUUCACCCUCUGAAGGUUUCCCUUGAGGAUCUUUAUCUCGAGACAACGAAGAAGCUCUCGCUUUCUAGGAAGGCUUUGUGCUUAAAGUGUAACGGCUCUUUGUGAUCAAAUCGUAUAGCGAAGAUGAUAUUCACAAAAGCAUCAAAUAUAAUGUGUGGUCCAGUACCUCUAAUGGCAACAAGAAGCUUAACGCUGCGUAUAACGAAGCAGCUGGAGACAAGUCCUCCUGUCCUGUUUUUCUCAUCUUCUCUGUAAACACAAGUGGGCAGUUUGUUGGUUUAGCGGAGAUGGUAUGACCAGUUGAUUAGAACCAGAUGGCGGAGUGCUGGCAGCAGGACAAGUGGGUUGGUUGCUUCCCUGUUAAGUGUCACAUCGUUAAAGAUAUCCUGAAUAGUUCCUUGAGGCAUAUUACGCUUGAGAAUGAUGAGAACAAGCCUGUUACUAAUAGCCAUGAUACACAGGAGGUAAAGAUAGAGCAAGGAGUCAAAGUAAUCAUUUUUUUUAAGGAACAUGUGAGCAAGACAUGCAUACUCAAUGAUUUUGUCUUCUAUGAGAAUUGUGAAAAUAUAAUCAAAGACUGGGAAAAAGAAACACCAACUGUAUAAAAGACAGCAAUCUUUUACUGCCAGUGACAAAAAGGCAACACCAAAAGACAAAUCUAAGGAAACCAGUGUGAUAGCAGAAGUGGCUGAAGAGAUAUCACAAAACAGUGUUGCAGAAGUUGCGAGCACAUGCUGAAUCGCAUGCUGAGUGCAGCAGCAAGCUGCUUACUUUACUUUGGAUGGGUUUUUUUGUCCGUUUUCUCCACCAAAUUUGCUCACUCUUUUCUUAGGAGUUUGGUUUUCUUUUGGUAGUUGGUUUUUGAAGUUGUAGAAGAUAUAUGAGUAAAAAUGAUUUCGAAGGCUAUAUAUAUAUUUCUUUUUCUUAAAAGUUCAAUGCAAAAAUAUAUUUUCUGUAU